GAGUAAUGUCUGGGAAACUGCCUGAUGGAGGGGGAUAACUACUGGAAACGGUAGCUAAUACCGCAUAACGUCGCAAGACCAAAGAGGGGGACCUUCGGGCCUCUUGCCAUCGGAUGUGCCCAGAUGGGAUUAGCUUGUUGGUGGGGUAACGGCUCACCAAGGCGACGAUCCCUAGCUGGUCUGAGAGGAUGACCAGCCACACUGGAACUGAGACACGGUCCAGACUCCUACGGGAGGCAGCAGUGGGGAAUAUUGCACAAUGGGCGCAAGCCUGAUGCAGCCAUGCCGCGUGUAUGAAGAAGGCCUUCGGGUUGUAAAGUACUUUCAGCGGGGAGGAAGGGAGUAAAGUUAAUACCUUUGCUCAUUGACGUUACCCGCAGAAGAAGCACCGGCUAACUCCGUGCCAGCAGCCGCGGUAAUACGGAGGGUGCAAGCGUUAAUCGGAAUUACUGGGCGUAAAGCGCACGCAGGCGGUUUGUUAAGUCAGAUGUGAAAUCCCCGGGCUCAACCUGGGAACUGCAUCUGAUACUGGCAAGCUUGAGUCUCGUAGAGGGGGGUAGAAUUCCAGGUGUAGCGGUGAAAUGCGUAGAGAUCUGGAGGAA
rnacentral:rRNA from 1 species